UUGAAAAUCACUACAGGUGUAACAUUAGCUUUUUCCUUUGUUUCUUUGAACUGUCGAAUGUUUCUUCAGCUUCAAAUUUCGAGAGUUUCCCUCUCUGCUCUGCUGUUGUUCUCAUGUUUGUUUUGGGUCUUCUACCUGCUGAAUUCUUCAUGGGCUGAGGCUUGGAAUUUUACAUAAAGUUGUGAUGCAUCCGGAAUGCAAGUUGUUGCUGGUGGAUUCUUGGGAUUGGCUAUAGCAGCAAUUGCAUGUAAUCACGGGCUCCAAAUGUCAAGCAUGAAGUUAGAGAAGCUGUUGCAUUCCAUUGUUGCGACCAUACGAAGAAUCAAAAUAAUAGAUAGUUAUCACCAAAUUUGUUUAUUACUUUAUGUCAUUUCUGAAUUCCCCUUCAAGACACUAUAUACAGUUAUGUGAAUCAAUAUUGACGAAAGUCCCUUCCUCUAAUACAGGUAAUCUGAUCUUCAUUAUCUACCACCACUUUUCCUAUAUUAUGUAUUUUUAUGUGCGAUGAUGCUUUAAAAUAGAUUGUUAACAAAGAGCUGUGUGCCUUUCUUUUUUCUCCACAAUUUGAAACUCUCUUUUCCCUCUGUUUAUGUAACUACAAAAGUAUUUUUCAGUUUGUCCUAAUUUAGUUCUUAUUGCUGGUGAUAUGUGAGCAUAUAGGAGUUGGAGACGCAAAAUUUGUUACUUCCCAUUUACUGGUAAUAUGCUAAUUGAGGUUACAUCAUGGUCAUUGUUUUACGUGGCUAUUCCCUACGUAAAGAGUAUAUUACAACAACAUGGUUCCUUUUAUGUCAUUAUUUGUGAAAUAUCGAGCGUUAUGCAGUCUUCAAUUUUGUACUCUAGGUGCUAUUAUCAUUAACUUCUAAGGUAGUGAGAUUUCCUGUAUUAGAAGUUUUAGGAGCAAUUUCUAUAGUAGAACUUUAAGGAGCAAACCAACAUUUGAUAUCUUUUAAGGAAAUCUAGAUCUGUCUUACAAGCUAUGACCAAAAAAUCUCAAGAUAAUUCACCUUGAAAUAUGAUCCUUCUGUAUGAAACAUAUAUCGUUAGUUAAUUCUUCUUUGAUUGGUACCACUUUCAAAAAAAAUUAAUUCUUCUUUGUAAAUUCUUCACCUUAACAACUUCAAAUAAUUUUGCAGUGUUGUUUAUUUUGUUGUUGAUGAUGCUUUUCAAAUAGUAUUUACCAGCAUCUUGAGUCAUCUCUGGCCUACUGGUUCUUUUCGCAAUCUACUGUGGUCUUUAUGGAAAUUAUUAUGUUUUAAAAUUGACUAUAUAAAUAGUAACUUUUGACAUGUAUUAUUUUGCACUCUGUGGGUUGUGCUUUGCUGGAUACCAUUCUUCGACCAAGAUGAUAACUUGAUGAUGAUUUUCAGUUGUAAGACAAUACAAAAUCUUCUCAUUCUGGAGGAAGUUGUUGUGCUUUACAGGAUAACUUCUCUGAACAACUUACUCCUAUGGACCUUUUUUGAGUGUUUUCCUGUGAAACCUCAUUACUGGAGCAACUAAGAAGAGAGGUGUAUAACAGAAUGCAAGAAAUGUCUCUGAUCUAGCUCUUGUUGGCUGAAGGUUUACAGCACGCUAGGCUAGAUAAAAAGGGUCUUAAACGGUCAAGUGACUGGCUUUCUCAUUGGAGUGAAAGACUACACGAUCUUUGACCAAGAGACUAAAUCUGUUGAAAGGACCUUGAGGCUUGCAUAUUGGAUCAUGUCAAAGGCAUUUUCUAUGACCUGUUGUACCCAGCAACCAAAAUAAAAAUAUGAUUGCAUGUCAUAUCGUCUAGGUUGCCAGCAAUCGAACUCCUAAAUCUUCAGAUUUGGGUAGGGGAAGAACGCCUCUCAAUGACUACCAGCAUGUUAUGAGAUUGGAGAAUCGAAUGCCGCUUAUGUAGGGCAAGGUGGUUUAAAUUUGAAGCAGUGAGGUAUUGAGUUGGAAAGAAUCAAAAUUAGAACUCUUUGUCCCAAAAUAAUAGAUGAAUUAUUAGAAGACUUCAUGUA